rnacentral:snRNA from 3 species
CACACUACGUAUGUGCCAUUCUCACUUCAAAAAACAAUACAGAGAAGAUUAAUAUCACCCUGCACAAAGAUGACAUGCAAAUUCCUGAAGCAUACUUUU